rnacentral:rRNA from 1 species
AUUGAACGCUGGCGGCAGGCCUAACACAUGCAAGUCGAACGAGUGGCGGAGGGGUGUGGAAUGUCUGGGAGACUGCCCGAGGGGGGGGGAGAUCUAUUGGAAAAGGUAGCAAAUACCGCGUAUCAUCGCAGGUGCCCAGAUGGGGUUAGCUAUUAGGUGGGGUAACGGCUCACAUCGGCGACGAUACCUAGCUGGUCUGAGAGAGGUACCAGCAAAACUGUAACUGAGUCCCGGUCCAGACUCCUACGGGAGGCAGCAGUGGGGAAUAUUGAACAAUGGGCGCAAGCCUGAUGCAGCCAUGCCGCGUGGAUGAAGAAGGCCUUCGGGUUGUAAAGCACUUUCAGCAAGGAGGCGUUACUUGCAGAAGAAGCACCGGCUAACUCCGUGCCAGCAGCCGCGGUAAUUC